rnacentral:rRNA from 1 species
GACGAACGCUGGCGGCGUGCUUAACACAUGCAAGUCGAACGAUGAAGCUGGAGCUUGCUCCGGUGGAUUAGUGGCGAACGGGUGAGUAACACGUUAGCAAUCUGCCCUUGACUCUGGGAUGACUGCGGGAAACUGUAGCUAAUACCGGAUAUGAGGCUUGGAGGCAUCUGCAGGUCUGGAAAGAAUUUCGGUCAAGGAUGAGCUCGCGGCCUAUCAGCUAGUUGGUGAGGUAAUGGCUCACCAAGGCGACGACGGGUAGCCGGCCUGAGAGGGUGACCGGCCACACUGGGACUGAGACACGGCCCAGACUCCUACGGGAGGCAGCAGUGGGGAAUAUUGCACAAUGGGCGAAAGCCUGAUGCAGCAACGCCGCGUGAGGGAUGAAGGCCUUCGGGUUGUAAACCUCUUUUAGCAGGGAAGAAGCGAAAGUGACGGUACCUGCAGAAAAAGCACCGGCUAACUACGUGCCAGCCGCCGCGGUAA